CGAGAGAUGAGUACGGAAAAUUCAACAGUUUGAAAGCGACAGCAGCGGAAGCUAGAAUGAAACUCGCUUCAAGCCAAAUGAUACAAAUAACAUUCAAUCAAUUAAAAUUUUGUCAUUAAAUUAUAGUAGUCGAUUUUUCUUUAAGAACAUUAAUAGUCUUUUUUUAAUAUUUGUUUAUUUGUAGUGUAACAUCUUUAUCACAAUGAUCUUAUUUAUAAUUAUUAUAGUUACUGUUUUAAUCAUAAAAUUUCCGCGCCGGAGUCCAUUCGGUAGAAACUGCUUAUAAAUAUUGUUGAAAUGAAUUACAAUAAAAUUAAUAAUUCAACAUCGGAAAUUUCUCUAAAUUUCAAUAAUUCAACAUCAUCAAAAAAUAAUUAUUUUCAUCCUUCAUCAUCAAAUAGCAAAAGUACUUUGAAUUCAUUAGAAAUAGCAUCAGAUGAAGAUUAUAAUUAUUAUUUUUUAUCACUACGUCCAGAAUUUGAUGAAAAUUCGGCAAACGAUGAUCAAAAGCCAAUUUUAAGCUCUUCUUCAGAAAGCAACGAAUUUGUUUCUCGUAAAAAACAAAGUAUAUCAGGUCUUUUAAAAUAUUGCAAGAAAAAAACGAUAAAUCGAUACUAUCGUAUCAUUAAUUGGAAACCCAAAAAAUUUCAUAUUUUUCGGUCAAAAUCAUCGUAAUUUUACUAUAUACUGUCAAGGUCUAUUAGAUAUAAUGUAAAAACUUUACUUUUGUGCUGAUAUUAUUUCUGUUGAUCAAAAUUAAUAUUUAAUAUUUUCGACUUUGAACUAAAAAAUUCCAAAGACAAUUAUAGUUUCAGUUAUAGAAAUUUAUCGACUAAUAUUUAUUAUUGAGAAAAAAAAUAUGACCACUGCUACGAAAAAGGAUCCGACUCUGAAAAUAUGUAAUUAAAUGUGAAUAAUUGUAUUGUUAAAUCAAAUAAUAAUCAAAAAUACGUUUCUUUCGUGUUGCUAUGUGAUAUGAAUUAAUUUAAUUAUACUGCUAGUGUGUCAUCAGAUAUUUCAAAAGAAAGCUAAAAAGUUUUAAAAACAAUUUAAGAAGAAGAUGAAAAAAUGAUUGAAAAAUUCGAUCAACAAGUCAAUUCAUCUCAAGGUUCCAAUUCUGCUUUUUCAAAUUAAUGUACUUACAAGAUAUCAUCCAAACGCGAAAAGCAAAGAAGCAGCAAAUUGAUCAUUAAAUUGAAGCUGUUAAAAAAUCCCAAUUCUAUAAUCUAUAUCAAUACUGAAAACGUGUUGUCUUCAAAAUUGAAAAUACUACUAUAUAGAUUCUUAAAUAUUUUGGAGUAAUAAGGUCAAGAAAUAAAAGAUAAGCAUUACAAUUAUGGAAACUAUUCGAAAAAGUGUGACCAGGAUGAGACGUUUCUUCAGAAGGAAUUUUUCUUCAAGGCGUACUACAAGAGAGGUAAAUAAAGAUAAUGAGAACCCACAAUUGAAUGAUCGCUCGAAAAAUUCAAAUUUAGCAGCUUCAACCGAGACGGCUCGGAAAAUGGAAAAAAAGGAAGCUAUUAAAUCUAAUAAACCUUACUACUUAUGGAAAGAUGAGAUAAGAAAAUCACGAAGACGCAAGGCCGAUGUAAACGACGUUCCGUACUAUUAUGAGUUCCCGAGACAAAAUUAGUCUGUAUAAUCAUAUAUCGUCCCGUUUCUGUGUAAACCUAGUAUCUACAAAAUCCUAAUUUAAAAUUCAUACUCUUUAUUUAUCACCUUAAAAAAAUUAAACAUGAUUUUUGCUAUCUGUAUCGAUACCUUGUUGUUAUUGUCAAUGUCAUGUAGAUACGAGUUUUCUCAUCAAAUACCAUAAUAAUUUUUUUGCAGAUACGAGGUUUUGAAACAAAAAAAAUUUUUUUUUUCUAUAAGAUCAUUGGCGA
rnacentral:lncRNA from 1 species